GUUUAAAUGUUUAGCUGUCAGUUCUGUGUGAUAUCAGUGCAAAUCCUUAGGUAGCAUGUUUUACAUAACAAACUUCACCUUAAACCACGGUGCGUGUUCAAGUGUGCAUUUUUACCGUAAACAAAAUAGAUUCACGUGUUGCUACUCCACAUGCCCUUGCUGUCACAAAACUAGAAGUUUUGAGAGUACAGAAAUGGUUGCUCAGAGGAUGUGAAAGGCAUGAUUCUUCUACCUCUCUCCUGUUUUGAUGAGAAAGAGGAGCUCCUCCAUUAUGUAGAAGAGACAAGCCUGGCAAAGGAUGUGGAGUUAGAAAACCUGCCUGUGACGCCUUGCAUUAUUGUGUGUGUGGACCCUCCUGCUAUGCUGCUGUCCGAUUCAUGCUAGCUGUGGACCGCAAGAUUGUGAAUGAUGACAUCACUUCUUUCAUCUCUGCUGUUUGCCUAAUGUUCUGCAGUUAUUACUGCUCCAAAAUUAACUACCCUACUGAACUGGCGUCAGUGCUUGAAUUCCUGCAAAGGUGUUUUUUUCAUCCUCAAUCCGGAGAAAGGGAAUAAAGGAGGUGGAAAAGAAAAACAAAAAGCUACUCCCAGUCUUCACCCUAAUCGCUGACCUUUCUGAUCAUGAAUGGCGAGAGACUUUGUAAAGGUGGUCUGCAGACUGUUUCCAAGUUUAUACUCGGGGUGAGAGACUUUGUAAAGGUGGCCUACAGACUGUUUCCAAGUUUUAAUCUCUUAAAGGGUUAUUUCAGGCUUGAAUCAAAUUUUCCCCAUGUUUUACUUACCCUCAAGGCAUCCUAAGUGAAUGUAACUUUCUUCUUGAGGAAUAAUGGAGUCAGAGUAAUAAUACCACGUAUCCUUUUACUUCCAAGCAGUAGAAUGGGAGUGAAUGGGGGGCAAUUUUUUAAAUCUCCAAAAAGUGCAUCCAUUGAUCAAAGAGCGGCUCGACACGGCUCCGUGGUCUUAACAAAGGUCUUCUGAAGCGAAUCCAUGCGUUUGUUUAAGAGAAAUAUACAUAUUGACAACGCUAUAAAGGAUAAUGUCCAACAUCCGCUGCAGGCGAGCGAGAGGCUUGUUUCUCCGGCAAAUGACGCAGAGUCUUCACCCUAAGUAAGUUCCUGUGACGAACAGCAUUUUUCGCCAAUAUAAACACCGCCUCUUCUGGGCGGGAGCUUUCGUCGCCAUCAUUUAACGGAAAAACAAGCCUCUCUUUCGCCUGCAGCGGCUGUUAGACAUUAUCCUUAAUAGCGUUGUCAAUAUGCAUAUUUCUCUUAAACAAACGCAUUGAUUCGCUUCAGAAGACCUUUGUUAAGACCACGGAGCCGUGUCGAGCCGUUCUUCUUUCAUCGAUGGAUGCACUUUUUGGAGCUUCAAAAAAUCCCCCCCAUUCACUCACAUUCUGCCGCUUGGAAGUCAAAGAAUACGUGGUAUUAUUACUUUGAUUGCAUUAUUCUUCAAGAAGAAAGUCACAUUCACUUAGGAUGCCGUGAGGGUAAGUAAAACAUGGGGAAAUUUUGAUUUUAAGCAUGAAGUAUCACUUUAAAGGGAUAGUUCUCCCCAAAGUGAAAAUUCUGUCAUUUCCUCACUCUCAGGUUCUUCCAAACCUGUAUACAUUUUUUGUUCGGUUAAACAAAAAGGAAGCUAUUUAUAAGAAUGUCAGUAACCAAACAGAUCUUAUCCCUCAUUUACUGCCAUAGUAGGGAAAAAAAAUACUAUGGGAGUCAAUGGGGGAUGAGAUCUGUUUGGUAAAUGACAUUCUUACAAAUAAAUUCCUUGGUGUUUAGCAGAACAAAGAAAUAUAUACAGUACAGGUUUGACAUGACAAGAGAGUGAGUAAAUGAUGACAGAAUUUUCAUUUUUGGGUGAAGCAUCACUUUAAAUGUAGACUGGACUGAACGAUUUUAAUUAAACCACUGUAUACCAGUUGAAACACGAGAACAGAAAAAUGCACUAAUAUUUUGUCUUAAAUGCCUGCCAGUCUUUAUUAAAGAUACUUGGGACCUCACUGAUGUCUUUGUCUUUUAUAGAUUUUGAUGGGUUUUGAUGAUUUGAUUUAGGUUUGCAAAUGUAAGAUAUUUAUCAAUUAGUUUAACAGUAAUUUUAAUAGUUUCUUAAAGGUUAAAUCUGAAUGUUUAGCAAAUAAUUAUAGAGUUUAACUGUAAUUAUUACAACAUAAACCUUUAAAUUAGACAGUGCUGAACUGUAAAAAAGAUGGUUAUGAACCGUAAUUAAUACAAUGUAAACCUUUAAAUUAGAAAGUGCUGAACUGUAAAAAAGAUGGUUAUGAACCGUAAUUAAUACAAUGUAAACCUUUAAAUUAGAAAGUGCUGAACUGUAAAAAAGAUGGUUAUGAACCGUAAUUAAUACAAUGUAAAUCCUGGAAUUUGACAGGUAUAAACUGUUUUUAUAACAGCAUAAACAAGUAAAUUAGACAGUUAUGAACCGUAAAAAAGAAAAUUAUUAACUGUAAAAUAUACGGUACAGUGGGUGCAAUCCCGUAAAACCAAUAACGUUGCAACCGUACUUUUGACGGUAAAGUUCUGGCAACCACAGCUGCCGGUUUUUUACCGUAAAAUUUACGGAAUAUUUUUUAC